rnacentral:rRNA from 1 species
UACGUAGGGGGCAAGCGUUGUCCGGAUUUAUUGGGCGUAAAGAGCGUGUAGGCGGUUAGGUAGGUCCGUUGUGAAAACUCGAGGCUCAACCUCGAGACGCCGAUGGAAACCAUCUAACUAGAGUCCGGAAGAGGAGAGUGGAAUUCCUGGUGUAGCGGUGAAAUUCGUAGAUAUUCGCAAGAACACCAGUGGCGAAGGCGGCUCACUGGCCCGAUACUGACGCUGAGGCACGAAAGCGUGGGGAGCAAACAGG